rnacentral:tRNA from 1 species
UCCCAGGUGGCUCAGACAGUAAAGAAUCUGCUUGCAAUGCAGAAGACCCAGGUUCGAUCCCUGGGUUGGGAA